rnacentral:rRNA from 1 species
UACGUAGGUGGCGAGCGUUAUCCGGAAUUACUGGGUGUAAAGGGCGUGUAGGCGGCACUGUAAGUCAGAUGUGAAAUCUCCCGGCUCAACCGGGAGCGUGCAUCUGAUACUGCAGUACUUGAGUGAUAGAGGGGAAAGCGGAAUUCCUAGUGUAGCGGUAAAAUGCGUAGAUAUUAGGAGGAACACCAGUGGCGAAGGCAGCUAACUGGUUGUCAAUUGACACUGAGGAACGAAAGCGUGGGGAGCAAACAGG